UACGUAGGGGCCUAGCGUUGUCCGGAAUUAUUGGGCGUAAAGAGCUCGUAGGCGGUUCGACAAGUCGGAUGUGAAAUCUCCACGCUUAACGUGGAGGGGCCAUUCGAAACUGCUGUGACUCGAGUCCGGUAGGGGAGUGUGGAAUUCCCGGUGUAGCGGUGAAAUGCGUAGAGAUCGGGAGGAACAUCAGUGGCGAAGGCGGCCAUCUGGAUCAACACUGACGCUGAAGCACGAAAGCGUGGGGAGCAAACAGG
rnacentral:rRNA from 1 species